ACGAACGCUGGCGGCGUGUCUUAAGCAUGCAAGUUGAGCGGCAAGGGGGAGCAAUCCCCCCUAGAGCGGCGGACUGGUGAGUAACACGUGGGUGACCUGCCUUUGUCAUGGGGAUAGCCAUUAGAAAUAGUGGGUAAUACCGAAUACGCUUGCACACGUAGAGGUGUGUAAGGAAAGGCGCUACGGCGCCGGACGAAGAUGGGCCCGCGUCCCAUUAGCUAGUUGGUGAGGUAACGGCCCACCAAGGCGAUGAUGGGUAGGCGGCCUGAGAGGGUGUACGCCCACAUUGGGACUGAGAUACGGCCCAAACUCCUACGGGAGGCAGCAGCUAAGAAUAUUCCGCAAUGGACGAAAGUCUGACGGAGCGACGCCGCGUGGAUGACGAAGGCCGAAAGGUUGUAAAAUCCUUUUGCUGGGGAAGAUAAUGACGGUACCUCUUGAAUAAGCACCGGCUAACUCCGU
rnacentral:rRNA from 1 species